rnacentral:rRNA from 1 species
GUGGGGAAUAUUGGACAAUGGGCGCAAGCCUGAUCCAGCCAUGCCGCGUGAGUGAUGAAGGCCUUAGGGUUGUAAAGCUCUUUCAGUAGGGAAGAUAAUGACGGUACCUACAGAAGAAGCCCCGGCUAACUUCGUGCCAGCAGCCGCGGUAAUACGAAGGGGGCUAGCGUUGUUCGGAUUUACUGGGCGUAAAGCGCACGUAGGCGGAUUGGUCAGUUAGAGGUGAAAUCCCGAAGCUCAACUUCGGAACUGCCUUUAAUACUGCCAGUCUCGAGUCCGGAAGAGGUGAGUGGAACUCCUAGUGUAGAGGUGGAAUUCGUAGAUAUUAGGAAGAACACCAGUGGCGAAGGCGGCUCACUGGUCCGGUACUGACGCUGAGGUGCGAAAGCGUGGGAGCAAACAGGAUUAGAUACCCCGGUAGUCC